rnacentral:rRNA from 1 species
CCUACGGGGGGCAGCAGUGGGGAAUAUUGGACAAUGGGCGAAAGCCUGAUCCAGCCAUGCCGCGUGUGUGAAGAAGGCCUUCGGGUUGUAAAGCACUUUCAGUGGGGAAGAAAGCCUUGGGGCUAAUACCCUCGAGGAAGGACAUCACCCACAGAAGAAGCACCGGCUAACUCCGUGCCAGCAGCCGCGGUAAUACGGAGGGUGCGAGCGUUAAUCGGAAUUACUGGGCGUAAAGCGCGCGUAGGCGGUCUGAUAAGCCGGUUGUGAAAGCCCCGGGCUCAACCUGGGAACGGCAUCCGGAACUGUCAGGCUAGAGUGCAGGAGAGGAAGGUAGAAUUCCCGGUGUAGCGGUGAAAUGCGUAGAGAUCGGGAGGAAUACCAGUGGCGAAGGCGGCCUUCUGGACUGGCACUGACGCUGAGGUGCGAAAGCGUGGGUAGCAAACAGGAUUAGAUACCCGAGUAGUC